GAUGGUAAUCACAUACAUGAUUGGCUUAAUCAAGAAUCAUGGAUACCUUUCAUAACUCAUCACAAGUUGGAACUAGUGGUGAACAUUGGGACAAUGCAGCCCAAAAUAACAGGGCUGAAUAUUUUCAUGGAGGUAAGCACUACACUUCUGAUGGGUUUAAAGAUUGUAUUACAUUAUCUAAAAGUGAGAAAGUAAACCCCAGCUGCUGUUAUUCUUUUCACCGGGAAGAUGGUCCAAUGGGCAUGGUCUGAAGCCUCUCGUCAUCUCAGUAUGUUGAACCACCUGAUUUCCUGCAGGCUUGAGAUUCAGAUCCUGCUGAACGAUGUUAAGCAMUCGAUUAACCACAUGCAGGGGAUGCUGAACACCAUGCAGGGGCAGUGUAUUGAGUUGCAGACUGCCAUGUCUAAGAUCAUCACACCAGCCGAAGUUGCUGUGCAGAGGGAGGAGAUUGUCCGAGCAUCAGACCUCAUCCCGUCACAGAGGAAGGGUAUCCUCCAAACAGCCAGUGUCCUUUCACAGAGGGAGGGGAUUCUCUCAGCCGCCAGCAUCAAUGCACAGAGGGAGGAGAUCCUACGAUCAUCAGGCCUCAUCCCUGCACGGAGGGAGGGGAUCCUCCAAACAGCCAGUGUCACUGCGCAGAGGGAGGAAAUCGUCCCAAUGGCCAGCGUCCCUGUGCACAGGGAGGGGAUUGUCCCAAGGGCUAGUGUCCCUGCUGAGAGGGAGGAGAUCCUCCGAGCAUCAGGCCUCAUCCCUGCACAGAGGAAGGGGAUCCUCCAAACAGCCAGUGUCCCUGCACCGAGGGAGGGAAUUCUCAGAGCAGCUAGCAUCACUGCGCAGAGGGAGGAGAUCCUCAGAGCAUCAGGCCUCAUCCCUGCACAUAGGGAGGGGAUCCUCCGAGCAUCAGGCCUCAUCCCUACAAAGAGAGUAGGGGGAUUCUUCCACAGCUCUGUUACUGCGCAGAAGAAUAAGAUGCUCAGAGCAUCACAACUCACCCCUGCACAAAGGGAGUUGAUCCUCUGCUGAUGACCAGUGUCACGCGCAAAGAAAGGGAAUCUUCCCAAAGGCCAGCGUCCCUGCGCACAGGGAGUGGAUCGUCCCAAAGGCUGGUGUCCCUGCAGAGAGAGGAGAUCCUCCUCACAGCCAGUGUCCCUGUGAAGAAUGAAAACAAUCAUCCACAACCACCUCCCAUCAUCCCCAUGGUGGCACUACUGUGGAAAUGGAUGGUGAGCGUGUACUCCACCUGUGGAUUUCUAUUCCAAGAGAAGAGGUCCCUUAACCUUACCUAAUUAGUAAAGAAAUACCUUGUGAAAGCGUGAGAAAAGUUCACUUCUCCCACUUAUUACGAUGU
rnacentral:lncRNA from 1 species